GGAAAGUAGAAGACCAAGAAAGGAAAUACUGCAGAAAUAUUUUAACACUGGGCCGGCUGGCAGCAAUGAGCUUUGUGCACUUGAGGAAGAAAAAAAUUUACACUUGAACUUAAAAUUUGUCUUGGAUGCUGCUUUUAGCAUUUCAGUUACUUCUGAGGAGGAUUCCAGGUGUCUACUUAAAAAUAGAAAGUGUUCCCAGGCAAGGAUUUCUGUCUGUAUUCUGCACUCCUGUACUCACAAAGAAGAAGAAAACUUCUUACAAAGGAAAAUACAUUAAUACAGAACACAUAUGAAAUUCUGCCUGUGUAAUGAAGAAUAUUCUUUGACUAUACUGUUUCCAGUGUAAACUACUGAACGUGCAAACACAAGUUUCAUGGGAGAUAAGCCAAGGUGAUGAAGUCCAAGCAAGAUGAGGAAGCACAGAGACCGUAAACACAUUAUCUUCUAUUAAAG
rnacentral:lncRNA from 1 species